UGGCGGACGGGUGAGUAACGCGUGGGUAACCUGCCUCAUACAGGGGGAUAACAGUUAGAAAAUGACUGCUAAUACCGCAUAAGAACCACAGCACCGCAUGGUGCAGGGGUAAAAACUCCGGUGGUAUGAGAUGGACCCGCGUCUGAGUUAGGUAGUUGGUGGGGUAACGGCCUACCAAGCCGACGAUCAGUAGCCGACCUGAGAGGGUGACCGGCCACAUUGGGACUGAGACACGGCCCAA
rnacentral:rRNA from 1 species